rnacentral:tRNA from 1 species
GCGACCGUAGUUCAGUGGUAGAGCGCUGGUUUGUGGUACCAGUUGUCGCGGGUUCGAAUCCCGUCGGUCGCC